GGUUCCCCAUACUUAGAACUGAAACUCAAAAUUUUUUUCUUCAUCAAACCCAUACGUGUGGGGUAUCUAUGGAUAAGUCUUCAAAAAUGGUAUUAAGUUUUCUAUUCUAAUUUUUUUUUCUAUUUUUGUGUGAAAAUCUUAAUGCAGUUCACAACAUACAUCUACUUACCAAGUUUUAACAUUAUAGUUUUUAUAGUUUCGGAAAAAAGUGGCUGUGACAUACGGACGGACAGACAGACAGACAUGACGAAUCCAUAAGGGUUUCGUUUUUUGCCAUUUGGCUACGGAACCCUAAAAA